GGUUGUGGCUCAGUGGUAGAGCACUCACCUAGCACAUGUGAGGCACUGGGUUCGAACCUCAGUGCCA
rnacentral:tRNA from 1 species